UAGGGUUAGUUUUCCACAUUU
rnacentral:piRNA from 1 species